GAACGCUAGCUACAGGCUUAACACAUGCAAGUCGAGGGAAACGAUAUUGGAAGCUUGCUUUUUCUAGGCGUCGACCGGCGCACGGGUGAGUAACGCGUAUCCAACCUGCCCAUCACUUGGGGAUAACCUUGCGAAAGUAAGACUAAUACCCAAUGACGUCUCUAGAAGACAUCUGAAGGAGAUUAAAGAUUUAUCGGUGAUGGAUGGGGAUGCGUCUGAUUAGCUUGUUGGCGGGGUAACGGCCACCAAGGCGACGAUCAGUAGGGGUUCUGAGAGGAAGGCCCCCCACAUUGGAACUGAGACACGGUCCAAACUCCUACGGGAGGCAGCAGUGAGGAAUAUUGGUCAAUGGACGAGAGUCUGAACCAGCCAAGUAGCGUGCAGGAUGACGGCCCUAUGGGUUGUAAACUGCUUUUAUAAGGGAAUAAAGUGAGUCUCGUGAGACUUUUUGCAUGUACCUUAUGAAUAAGGACCGGCUAAUUCCGUG
rnacentral:rRNA from 1 species